UACGGGGGGGGCAAGCGUUGUUCGGAAUUACUGGGCGUAAAGGGCUCGUAGGCGGCCAACUAAGUCAGACGUGAAAUCCCCAGGCUCAACCUGGGAACUGCGUCUGAUACUGGAUGGCUUGAAUCCGGGAGAGGGAUGCAGAAUUCCAGGUGUAGCGGUGAAAUGCGUAGAUAUCUGGAGGAAUACCGGUGGCGAAGGCGGCAUCCUGGUCCGGCAUUGACGCUGAGGAGCGAAAGCCAGGGGAGCAAACGGG
rnacentral:rRNA from 1 species